CUUAUCAAGAGUGACUGAGGGAACAGGCCCUAUGAAGUCCGGCAACCUGCUUUUUUUGCAAGGUGCCAAAUCCUGCGGUAUAUAUGCCGAAAGAUGAG
rnacentral:ncRNA from 1 species